AUACCGCAUAAGCCCACGGCUCGGCAUCGAGCAGAGGGAAAAGGAGCAAUCCGCUUUGAGAUGGCCUCGCGUCCGAUUAGCUAGUUGGUGAGGUAACGGCCCACCAAGGCGACGAUCGGUAGCCGGACUGAGAGGUUGAACGGCCACAUUGGGACUGAGACACGGCCCAGACUCCUACGGGAGGCAGCAGUGGGGAAUAUUGCACAAUGGGGGUAACCCUGAUGCAGCGACGCCGCGUGGAGGAAGAAGGUCUUCGGAUUGUAAACUCCUGUUGUUGAGGAAGAUAAUGACGGUACUCAACAAGGAAGUGACGGCUAACUACGUGCCAGCAGCCGCGGUAAAACGUAGGUCACAAGCGUUGUCCGGAAUUACUGGGUGUAAAGGGAGCGCAGGCGGGAAGACAAGUUGGAAGUGAAAUCCAUGGGCUUAACCCAUGAACUGCUUUCAAAACUGUUUUUCUUGAGUAGUGCAGAGGUAGGCGGAAUUCCCGGUGUAGCGGUGGAAUGCGUAGAUAUCGGGAGGAACACCAGUGGCGAAGGCGGCCUACUGGGCACCAACUGACGCUGAGGCUCGAAAGUGUGGGUAGCAAACAGGAUUAGAUACCCUGGUAGUCCACACUGUAAACGAUGAUUACUAGGUGUUGGAGGAUUGACCCCUUCAGUGCCGCAGUUAACACAAUAAGUAAUCCACCUGGGGAGUACGACCGCAAGGUUGAAACUCAAAGGAAUUGACGGGGGCCCGCACAAGCAGUGGAGUAUGUGGUUUAAUUCGACGCAACGCGAAGAACCUUACCAAGUCUUGACAUCCUGCGACGCACAUAGAAAUAUGUGUUUCCUUCGGGACGCAGAGACAGGUGGUGCAUGGUUGUCGUCAGCUCGUGUCGUGAGAUGUUGGGUUAAGUCCCGCAACGAGCGCAACCCUUAUGGUCAGUUACUACGCAAGAGGACUCUGGCCAGACUGCCGUUGACAAAACGGAGGAAGGUGGGGAUGACGUCAAAUCAUCAUGCCCUUUAUGACUUGGGCUACACACGUACUACAAUGGCGUUAAACAAAGAGAAGCAAGACCGCGAGGUGGAGCAAAACUCAGAAACAACGUCCCAGUUCGGACUGCAGGCUGCAACUCGCCUGCACGAAGUCGGAAUUGCUAGUAAUCGCAGAUCAGCAUGCUGCGGUGAAUACGUUCCCGGGCCUUGUACACACCGCCCGUCACACCAUGAGAGCCGGGGGGACCCGAAGUCGGUAGUCUAACCGCAAGGAGGACGCCGCCGAAGGUAAAACUGGUGAUUGGGGUGAAGUCGUAACAAGGUA
rnacentral:rRNA from 1 species